rnacentral:rRNA from 1 species
AUCCAGCCAUGCCGCGUGUGUGAAGAAGGCUUUUGGUUGUAAAGCACUUUAAGCGAGGAGGAGGCUACUUAGAUUAAUACUCUAGGAUAGUGGGCGUACUCGCAGAAUAAGCACCGGCUAACUCUGUGCCAGCAGCCGCGGUAAUACAGAGGGUGCGAGCGUUAAUCGGAUUUACUGGCGUAAAGCGUGCGUAGGCGGCUUUUUAAGUCGGAUGUGAAAUCCCUGAGCUUAACUUAGGAAUUGCAUUCGAUACUGGGAAGCUAGAGUAUGGAGAAGGUGGUAGAAUUCCAGGUGUAGCGGUGAAAUGCGUAGAGAUCUGGAGGAAUACCAUGGCGAAGGCAGCCAUCUGGCCUAAUACUUACGCUGAGGUACGAAAGCAUGGGGAGCAAACAGGAUUAGAUACCCUGGUAGUCCAUGCCGUAAACGAUGUCUACUAGCCGUUGGGCCUUUNAGGCUUUAGUGGCGCACUAACGCGAUAAGUAGACCGCC